UAAUUUUGCACUCGCAAUGGUUCACUUAAGCAUUUCGCAUUAAGUGAUGAAAAGGGAAUCAGGUGAAAGUCCUGAACAGACCCGCUGCUGUAAGCUCUUUCUUUAAUUGAAAAUAUAAAAAUAUCAAUUAAAGUGAACGUAUUAAACAACACUUUUGCCACUGUUUUUCCGACAGCGGACAAUUGAUUAAGGAUACUGAAUUUUUCAUUGUCAAUUAUCAAUUGUCAACAGUCAAUUAUCAACGGGAAGGCGUUUAAUCACGAGAGUAAGUCAGAAGACCUGCCAUUAAAAUAUUCUUUUU
rnacentral:ncRNA from 2 species